rnacentral:rRNA from 1 species
UACGUAGGGGGCCAGCGUUGUCCGGAUUUAUUGGGCGUAAAGAGCGUGUAGGCGGCCAGGUAGGUCUGGUGUGAAAACUCGAGGCUCAACCUCGAGAUGUCAUCGGAAACCACCUGGCUAGAGUCCGGAAGAGGAGAGUGGAAUUCCUGGUGUAGCGGUGAAAUGCGCAGAUAUCAGGAAGAACACCUAUGGCGAAGGCGGAUCUCUGGGCCUUACCUGACGCUCAGGCACGAAAGCUAGGGGAGCGAACAGG